AUUGAACUCUGGCGGCAGGCCUAACACAUGCAAGUCGAACGAGUGGCGGACGGGUGAGUAAUGUCUGGGAAACUGCCUGAUGGAGGGUGAUAACUCCUGGAAACGGUAGCUAAUACCGCAUACCAUCGGAUGUGCCCAGAUGGGCUUAGCUAGUAGGUGGGUGAAAGGCUCACCUAGGCGACGAUCCCUAGCUGGUCUGAGAGGAUGACCAGCCACACUGGAAAUGAGACACGUUCCAGACUCCUACGGGAGGCAACAGUGGGGAAUAUUGCACAAUGGGCGCAAGCCUGAUGCAGCCAUGCCGGGUGUAUGAAGAAGGACUUCGGGUUGUAAAGUACUUUCAGCGGGGAGGCGUUACCCGCAGAAGAAGCACCGGCUAACUCCGUGCCAGCAGCCGCGGUAAUAC
rnacentral:rRNA from 1 species